GACGAACGCUGGCGGCGUGCUUAACACAUGCAAGUCGAACGGUAAGGCCCUUCGGGGUACACGAGUGGCGAACGGGUGAGUAACACGUGGGUGAUCUGCCCUGCACUUCGGGAUAAGCCUGGGAAACUGGGUCUAAUACCGGAUAGGACCACUGCCUGCAUGGGUGGUGGUAGAAAGCUUUUGCGGGGUGGGAUGGGCCCGCGGCCUAUCAGCUUGUUGGUGGGGUGAUGGCCUACCAAGGCGACGACGGGUAGCCGGCCUGAGAGGGUGACCGGCCACACUGGGACUGAGAUACGGCCCAGACUCCUACGGGAGGCAGCAGUGGGGAAUAUUGCACAAUGGGCGUAAGCCUGAUGCAGCGACGCCGCGUGAGGGAUGACGGCCUUCGGGUUGUAAACCUCUUUCAGCACCGACGAAGCGCAAGUGACGGUAGGUGCAGAAGAAGGACCGGCCAACUACGUGCCAGCCGCCGCGGUAA
rnacentral:rRNA from 1 species